rnacentral:tRNA from 1 species
CUAAGGAAAAAGGAAGCACGUUUAGCGUCUUAUUUAGUUUUGAGAGGUCUUGUGGGGCCUUAGCUCAGCUGGGAGAGCGCCUGCUUUGCACGCAGGAGGUCAGCGGUUCGAUCCCGCUAGGCUCCAUUAAAACAGGAUACUAACAGACGGUUCGGUUUACCGAAAACUUCUGUAGAAAAAUAGGAAAUCGACGCUGUGUGUUUAGCACACAAGGAGAUUUAUCUUUUUUCCUAAGAAGUUAGUCUGGUGUUCAACUUUGUAGAUCUUGUUUUAAUUGAUAUUAGCAUACAACUUUAAUAUCAAAACCUUGUCCAUUGAAAAUUGAAUAACUAUAUCAUAUUCCGCAAUCAAAAAAGAUUGUAAGAAAGUAACAAGAAAUAAACCGAAACGCUGUGAUAACGAGUUUAAGAAAAAAUAA